GACGAACGCUGGCGGCGUGCCUAAUACAGGAAAGUAGAACGAUGAAGGAGGAGCUUGCUCUUCUGGAUGAGUUGCGAACGGGUGAGUAACGCGUAGGUAACCUGCAUGGUAGCGGGGGAUAACUAUUGGAAACGAUAGCUAAUACCGCAUAACAGUAGAUGUUGCAUGACAUUUGCUUAAAAGGUGCAAUUGCACCACUACCAGAUGGACCUGCGUUGUAUUAGCUAGUUGGUGGGGUAACGGCUCACCAAGGCGACGAGACAUAGCCGACCUGAGAGGGUGAGCGGCCACACUGGGACUGAGACACGGCCCAGACUCCUACGGGAGGCAGCAGUAGGGAAUCUUCGGCAAUGGACGGAAGUCUGACCGAGCAACGCCGCGUGAGUGAAGAAGGUUUUCGGAUCGUAAAGCUCUGUUGUAAGAGAAGAACGAGUGUGAGAGUGGAAAGUUCACACUGUGACGGUAUCUUACCAGAAAGAGCCGGCUAACUACGUC
rnacentral:rRNA from 1 species